CCUGAGCAUGUCAGACUCACACCACGUUGGGAUUAGAUACCCUCAAACAAACCAGCCAUCAAUUCCAACUCAGAAUGAGGCUAUGUAUAGCUACCAUUUCAUCCAUUAAAUUUGAACCUCCCCCCUUUUGUUUCAUAAAACUGACCAGAUGGGUUUUGUUCCCGAUGAUACUCAAUUGCUGGCUAGGUUUCCCCAGUUUCCCGUUUAGAGCCUCUGGUUUUAUAUAUCAUCUCCUAUAAAUGAUUUCCGAUUGUGUUGAUUAUUUAGGAAGAUUACAAACCAGAAGAUGAGGAAGACGAUGGUGAGAAAAGCUGGGUGGGUCUUAAGCUUAGGCUGCUUGGGAAUGGGAUCGGGUUCCGCCACCUCUUCUAAUUAAUUUACUUUCUUUGUUGUUUUUGUAACCAUCACUUGAUCAAUUUUGAUGGUUAGCUCUUUGUUUUUGAUGGAUAGCAUAGUUUGCUUUUGAUUACAUGAGGGAGGCAUUUGUACGUUUUGAGUGAAUGAGUAUUGACCAAUGUGGGUUGUCAAUUUUUUUGAUGUCUGUACAAUUCCUGGGAAAUUCUCAUUGCUCUAGAAUCCCAGGGAGAGGAGGUCAUUAAAACUCUUUUUAAUCCCAUUUUUAACAAACCCUGGGAAUUCUCACUUUGCUUAUAUUUGAACAUUUGCCUUACAUAUGCCAAGUUAUAGGGGUUGCUAGCUUGCUCCCAGAGCUGCAAUCAAAAUCAAAGGUAAGCUUGUUUCCUCUUUUUAUGCAAAAUCAGAGAGAUGGGUUUGAGUGCCGCUUAUGGCUAGAUUACUGAAUUUGUGGGACUGUGAAUCAACCUAUAGGUUAGAAAAUUUUGAUUCAUUGGAUCUUUUAGGAAUCAAACAUCAGUGUGCACAUUAGAUGUUUGAAUAAAUGCUCCAAAUGCAAUUUUUUGGCAAAUGUCUCAUGCAUUUUACCUGUUUGAAUAGGUUCACUUCCAACAAUGGCUAAUUCUUGUGGUUUUGUGUUUUGUGACUUCCGUGGGGAUAUGCUGUCUUUGACUGCAACUGCAUAUGUGAAACCCAGCCAAUUACCCUUGUGCAAAAUUUCAGCAACCUAUGCAACUUAGAGCUUUAUUUGCAUGCGUAGUUUUAAACAUUUGCUCUAGAGACAUGAGAACAUUUCUACAUGAUAAUAGGUCGAAUGUGUCCUACUAUAUGUUGCUGCGCAAAGUGGUUACAAAGCUCUUGCUUGUAAAUGAUUUUGCUGCAGUUCAGUUUUUGCUACAGAAAGCAUGUAGUUUUUUUUAUUUAUUUAUUUUUUAUCUUAGACGAAUGAUAUAUAUAUGGCUGCGUUUGGGGGGGCUUUUUUGCUCCCCUGCUUAUAAGCACCUCGACCUUUCGCGUUUGGUAAACUAGCUUCUCCUCUACUUUUUCCAGAAGCCACCGCUUCUUUGAUGGAAAAGCCAAAGCCGCGAGUGCCCUGCUUCUGAAAGCAGGAGAUGGCUUUUGGAAAUACCGGUUUCUAUCCUCUCUUUGUUUCAGCAAUUACACAAUACCGAUUUCUCUUCCGUGUUCAAUUCGAAGCCUCGCACAGACGCAUAAUUUCUCUCGCUCAUUGCCUUCACCUCGCCUCUCAUCCGUGUUCGAAACCAAAGCCUCAAUCCUUGAUUGCUGGAUGCUGGGAAAUUUGAUUCACGGAAGCAUCUUUAAGAACUCCAAACUUUUGAGUUCUUAUCAAGUUCCACUAGUGAAGAAUUUUGACAUCCAGAGAUCAUAGUUAGUGCCAUCAGUAAUACGUAUCAUUCUGAGGAGUUCUCUAUUGUUUUGUAUGAUGGUGGUGGGGUGGACUUUCACUAGAAUUCAAAUAAGUUUACAAUCUCAGAGAAGUUUUGUAAGGAUUUAGUGUCACAUUUUUAUGAAGUUUAUGAACAUUAUGCGAGAAUUUGGAUACCAUUUUUGGCACUAUAUAUACAUGCCUUUGGUUACGCUUGUUCCUUCAUUCUGUAGUUCUCUUGAUAAUAUUGCAUUCACUGCAGAGGCAAGUAAUAAGAACCAAAAGUGUUGAAUACAUGCCAUUUACUUUUGUCUUCAUUCUUAACACUUUGUGCUAUCACAUGGUUCUUCUACAGACUUUUCACAAAGAAUUACUAAAUUGAAGUAAGUGGUAUAAUUACCAUCUCUUUUUCUGUUUCUUUAUCUGAUGCUACUUAAGAAUGUCUUUAUUGUUAAUUGAAGAAAACCUAGCUAGCUAUUAAUCAACCUGAGAUGGUUACCAUAUUGUAGUGAAGGAUUGAAUGAUUGAAUCUUUGUGAAUGUGAAUGAGUGAUUUUUGUAUGAAGUAGCUUUGAUCAUUAACGUAGUAAUGUCCUAGGUAAAUAGCAAGUAGUGUCCUUUGAUCAUUAUUGCUUGUUCUGUACUGGUGAUAGGGAUAUCUUGUUCUGUGGACAAUGAGUUGUUAGGAAAUAAUACAUUUCUGGAUAAAGGUAAUGAACAGCCGGGCUAGUUACAUGCAGACCUUGUUUUUGUGAUUGAUGAGAAGCCCCAUGACGUUUACAAGAGAGGUAGCAGUUUACAAGACCUUGUUUAUAUUCUAGGCUAUAGUGGUGUAAGCUGUAUUUUUAUAUGUCAAGCUGCACUAUUAGAAAUGCUGGCAGUUUGAAUAAGUGUUGUUUCAAUAUAUUUGAUAUAUUGUACUGACUCUACUGAGUGAUCCCACUCCAUUCUUUGUUGAAUAUUACAUCCAUAAAUUCAAAAUGUAACUUCUUGUUCUUGGUA